rnacentral:lncRNA from 1 species
GAGUAUCCAGAGAGAAGUGAUUCGUGCAGGGGUGAGCCUUCUUUGUUCCAGAAGGCCUGUUAUUUCAGAUUAUGUUAUUCCUUUAUUUUGGUCUACUGGGGCCUUGUUCCAGUUUUCAGAACAGUUGUGAGAUGUAGUAGAGAUUUCGCAGACUGAGUCAAAUCUUAUUCAGAUGUUUUGAAUUGCAGCUUUCAUUCUUAUGUCUUGAAUCUCAGAGUUAAUGACCAUGUUUCCAUAUCAGAUUGUAUUUC